rnacentral:rRNA from 1 species
UACGACUACAUAUCAGGCAUAUCAAUAAGCGGAGGAAAAGAAACUAACUAGGAUUCCCUCAGUAACGGCGAGUGAAGCGGGAAGAGCUCAAAUUUGAAAUCUUCAAGGUUUUACCUUGACGAAUUGUAGUUUAAAGAAGUGUUUUCUGUUGGUGUUUUGGUAAAAGUUCUUUGGAAUAGGACAUCAUAGAGGGUGAGAAUCCCGUAUUUGACCAUUAUUUCCAGCUUUGUGAUACACUUUCAAAGAGUCGGAUUGUUUGGGAAUGCAGUCCAAAAUGGGUGGUAAAUUUCAUCUAAAGCUAAAUACUGGCGAGAGACCGAUAGCGAACAAGUACCGUGAGGGAAAGAUGAAAAGAACUUUGAAAAGAGAGUUAAACAGUACGUGAAAUUGUCAAAAGGGAAGCGUUUGACACCAGUGUUGUUUUCUCGAAAAUCAAUUAAAAAGUAGUGGGAUUUUGUAUUGUUAAGACCUUAUCAGCUUACGGUACUUUUUUCUUACUCUUUUUAAUGCACUUUUCGUUUAACAAGUCAACAUCAAUUUCCUUUUGUUGUAAAAGAGUCAUUGGAAGGUGGCUUUCACUUCGGUGUAAAGUGUUUAUAGCCUUGUGCCUCUGCAAUCGGAGAGAUUGAGGUCUGCAGCGUAGAUCCUUCGGGGUUAGAUACGUUAGAUGCUAAGUUAUAGCUUUUUCAUAGACAACUUGUUGACUAUGAUUUAAGUCAUUGUAGCUUACUCGCUUACUGCUAUUUUACCUACGCUUAGGAUGUUGACGCGCGUGUGUGCGUG